UUCGCAAUGCCCGAAAGGGUGACGAAGCGACGCCGCGUGAGCGAAGAAGGCCUUAGGGUUGUAAAGCUCUGUCGAGGGUUAUGAAGUAUGGAUGGGUUAAUACCUCAUUUAUUUGACAAAGGCCCAAAAGGAAGUCACGGCUAACUCUGUGCCAGCAGCCGCGGUAAUACAGAGGUGGCAAGCGUUGUUCGGUAUUAUUGGGCGUAAAGAGCACGUAGGUGGUUUUGUAAGUCAGGUGUGAAAGCCUUCUGUUCAAAGGAAGAACGGCAUCUGAAACUGCAGAUCUUGAGUGUAGGAGGGGAGAGUGGAACUUCUGGUGGAGCGGUGAAAUGCGUAGAUAUCAGAAGGAACGUCGGCGGCGAAAGCGACUCUCUGGCCUAUUGCUGACACUGAGGUGCGAAAGUUAGGGGAGCAAACGGGAUUAGAUACCCCGGUAGUCCUAACCGUAAACGAUGGGCACUAAGUAGA
rnacentral:rRNA from 1 species